rnacentral:rRNA from 1 species
AAAGGAAUUGACGGGGACCCGCACAAGCGGUGGAGCAUGUGGUUUAAUUCGAAGCAACGCGAAGAACCUUACCAAGGCUUGACAUGGGGAUGACAGGCAUAGAGAUAUGCCCUUCUACGGACAUCCCGCACAGGUGGUGCAUGGUUGUCGUCAGCUCGUGUCGUGAGAUGUUGGGUUAAGUCCCGCAACGAGCGCAACCCUUAUGUUUAGUAGCCAGCGGGUAAAGCCGGGCACACUAGAGAGACUGCCGUGGAUAACACGGAGGAAGGUGGGGACGACGUCAAAUCAUCAUGCCCCUUAUGUCUUGGGCUACACACGUGCUACAAUGGUUGCUACAAAGUGACGCGAACCCGCGAGGGCAAGCCAACCACAAAAAAGCAGCCCCAGUUCGGAUUGCAGGCUGCAACCCGCCUGCAUGAAGUUGGAAUCGCUAGUAAUCGCGAAUCAGCAUGUCGCGGUGAAUACGUUCCCGGGUCUUGUACACACCGCCCGU